GACGAACGCUGGCGGCGUGCUUAACACAUGCAAGUCGAACGGAAAGGCCCUGCUUUUGUGGGGUGCUCGAGUGGCGAACGGGUGAGUAACACGUGAGUAACCUGCCCUUGACUUUGGGAUAACUUCAGGAAACUGGGGCUAAUACCGGAUAGGAGCUCCUGCUGCAUGGUGGGGGUUGGAAAGUUUCGGCGGUUGGGGAUGGACUCGCGGCUUAUCAGCUUGUUGGUGGGGUAGUGGCUUACCAAGGCUUUGACGGGUAGCCGGCCUGAGAGGGUGACCGGCCACAUUGGGACUGAGAUACGGCCCAGACUCCUACGGGAGGCAGCAGUGGGGAAUAUUGCACAAUGGGCGGAAGCCUGAUGCAGCAACGCCGCGUGCGGGAUGACGGCCUUCGGGUUGUAAACCGCUUUCGCCUGUGACGAAGCGUGAGUGACGGUAAUGGGUAAAGAAGCACCGGCUAACUACGUGCCAGCAGCCGCGGUGAUACGUAGGGUGCGAGCGUUGUCCGGAUUUAUUGGGCGUAAAGGGCUCGUAGGUGGUUGAUCGCGUCGGAAGUGUAAUCUUGGGGCUUAACCCUGAGCGUGCUUUCGAUACGGGUUGACUUGAGGAAGGUAGGGGAGAAUGGAAUUCCUGGUGGAGCGGUGGAAUGCGCAGAUAUCAGGAGGAACACCAGUGGCGAAGGCGGUUCUCUGGGCCUUUCCUGACGCUGAGGAGCGAAAGCGUGGGGAGCGAACAGGCUUAGAUACCCUGGUAGUCCACGCUGUAAACGGUGGGUACUAGGUGUGGGGUCCAUUCCACGGGUUCCGUGCCGUAGCUAACGCUUUAAGUACCCCGCCUGGGGAGUACGGCCGCAAGGCUAAAACUCAAAGGAAUUGACGGGGCUCCGCACAAGCGGCGGAGCAUGCGGAUUAAUUCGAUGCAACGCGUAGAACCUUACCUGGGUUUGACAUGGAUCGGGAGCGCUCAGAGAUGGGUGUGCCUCUUUUGGGGUCGGUUCACAGGUGGUGCAUGGCUGUCGUCAGCUCGUGUCGUGAGAUGUUGGGUUAAGUCCCGCAACGAGCGCAACCCUUGUUCACUGUUGCCAGCACGUUAUGGUGGGGACUCAGUGGAGACCGCCGGGGUCAACUCGGAGGAAGGUGGGGAUGACGUCAAGUCAUCAUGCCCCUUAUGUCCAGGGCUUCACGCAUGCUACAAUGGCUGGUACAGAGAGUGGCGAGCCUGUGAGGGUGAGCGAAUCUCGGAAAGCCGGUCUCAGUUCGGAUUGGGGUCUGCAACUCGACCUCAUGAAGUCGGAGUCGCUAGUAAUCGCAGAUCAGCAACGCUGCGGUGAAUACGUUCCCGGGGCU
rnacentral:rRNA from 1 species